UCGCCAUCUCUCUUCUUUCCCAUUUUAAUUUCAUCUUCCAUACACGCUCAUUAUUCACAUUCAUCUUCCACCGCUUUCUCUCUCAUCUUAUUUCUCUAUGUUCUCUCAAUUGACCUCAUUCUGCUUUCAUCGUUCAAUAGGAAACCCUAGCAUUACACACUACACAUCAGAUCCUCUUCGUUCAUCCUAUUGAAAUUGACUGAUAAUUCUUUUGGGUCGACAAUUCCCUAUCUUCAAGAUUUGGAAUCAAGUGAUGGAGUCGCAGAUUAUUGACAGCUAGGAUUGCUUCUGUUACGUUGACUAUCGUAAUUUCCACUUAGCGUCAUUACACAAACAACAACAACAAGCCCUAAGGCUAUCAUCUGGUUUUUUUCAUUACUUACGGAUUGAGUUUAAUCUUAGGAUUUUGUGGGUUUCUGCGUAUUGGAUCUUUUUACUGCUCCCACGCACAAAUGUCGUCUCCAUCAAGGUGAUUUUGUAUGGGGCUGAUCAAAGAGAGUUUAUCGCAUCUGGAAAACCUCUACUUUCAUAGGGCUAAGCAACCAUACGCUCUCCUUUUGUCCCAAUCUUUGCUUUAUCGUAAACUACAGAAUAAUAUUGGGAGCUUGCUGAACGGGAUGCAGUCACUGGAGUCUUGCGUGCGUGGUGUGGAAUCAAAACUCGAUGAAAUUUUGUUUGACUUGGCAAAGUCAAUUAGAUGGGUGUCACAAGUUACCGGGUGUAGAUCUUUUUAGCUCUACACUCUGGAUGAAAUUAGAACAAGGAGCUUGAAUCUUCAAACCGCUCGAUUCCAUCUUCGUAUCGGGCUAAUUAAGAACCCCUUGACAGAGUCAUUUGGGGCUUUAUUGUGAUAUCUUGGAUGAAGUCAGAACUUUGAUCGUGUAUGGUGAUCAAACAAGGCUUCCACAAGCUUUGACCAACUUUUGAUCACUACAACCAUGAGGAAAUGUUCACAUAUGCAAUACCUAAUUAUUAUGUCUAUUGUCAAGAGCCGAAGAUCUUGAACAUCUAUGUUAAAGGGAAUUUAAAAUUGAAAUGCUCUUGCUUGGCUCAUUCACAACUGGUGCCAUUUUGUUGGUAGUUAUUUUUUGCCUUCAUGUUCCUUGUGAAGAAUUUUAAAACUAGCAUGAAACAUGAUCAAUAUCUACAGGAUGGACUCUCAGAGAUUAUAUAUUCAGGGCUAUGUUUGAUCCGUAACCAAGUCACUAAUAAACGGGUUAUGUUUAAUAUGGUUACUCUCAUCAGUAUUCUUGAAGUUGGAUGACGCUUUGAGAAAUGAGUUUUGCCCAGAAAAAGUUACCAUACACAUCUCCUAAUUCAAAUCACCAGUAAUAUUAAAAGAACUUUUUUUUGUCGUUCUGGUUAAUAUAAUCCUACAAGUUGCAAAUUGGACGGGCUGCGUACUGGGUCAAAACAGAUUGGGAAAUGACUUUUGCUGUUUGAGAUUUAAGUUUGAAGAACAAUGGACUAAUUGCAAAGUAGAUGGAUGGAAGGAUAAGGCUCAAGAAAAUGAAUAUGUUCGUGAGCAAAAUACACCAGUUGAUCUAGACGAUUAUGGCAGAGUUGAUGAAUUGGUUGAACCUGGUACUAAAUAUCUAAAUGAGAAUAUGGUUACACAAUGAACAUAACAGAAAAGAGUGACGUCUAUAGUUACAGAGUGGUGUUACUAGAGAUCUUAAGUGGACGUAGUGCGGUCGAGAAUCGGGUCAGGGGGUUUCACAUAUAGUCGAGUGGGUCAAAAAGAAAAUGGUUAGUUUUGAGCCCGCGGUCACCAUACUAGACGCCAAGUUUCAAGGGAUUCCGGAUCAAAUGGUCCAAGAAAUGCUACUAACGCUUGGGAUCGCGAUGCUUUGUGUGAAUUCUUCACCCCCGCAGAGACCUAGAAAGAAAGAAGUGGUUGCAUUGUUGAUGGAAGUUAAAGAGUUCACCUGCAGAAUGGGGGAAAACUUCACAACUAAUGAAGCAAUCAUCUACUCAUAGCUAUUUAAUGUCAGCCGUAUUAUUGAAGAAGACUUUUGAACUGAUCCGUUUCAACAUGUAGAGUUUUAAGAGGUUGGUUCUAAGUAAGUGUAUAAACAAGGCUUUUAACGACUUUUGGUGUAUAUAACAGUAAUUAACGUAGGACAAACAAUACGUGUAACACAACUAAUGUGGUUUUUAAGGAGAUUUUCAACGAAUUAUGAUCAUUGCAUAUUCAUGUAUUCCAAUUUGUCGUCGUAGUCUUACAAAUUCGUUUGCGGUUUAACGUGUAUUUAAUC
rnacentral:lncRNA from 1 species